rnacentral:rRNA from 1 species
GUGCCAGCAGCCGCGGUAAUACGAAGGGUCCAAGCGUUAUCCGGAUUUAUUGGGUUUAAAGGGUGCGUAGGCGGGUUGUUAAGUCAGUGGUGAAAUCUUGCAGCUUAACUGUAAAAUUGCCAUUGAUACUGACGAUCUUGAGUACACUUGAAGUGGGCGGAAUAUGUCAUGUAGAGGUGAAAUUCUUAGAGAUGACAUAGAACACCGAUUGCGAAGGCAGCUCACUAAAUUGUAACUGACGCUGAGGCACGAAAGCGUGGGGAUCAAACAGGAUUAGAUACCCGGGUAGUCC